CACAAAGCCCAUCUUGUUCCCAUAGAAACCAGUGCUCAGCGCUGAAUGACGAGCUUGACUCCGCACAGCCCCCUUCCUCUUCUUUUUAAAAUCUCUGUUGGAGCUUCAUUGUCUUCUUGCUAUUCUUGUUUUAAUAAAACGAAGGACCCGGGGGAGAGAAAACACGACCCCGCCCGCCCAACCUCAAGGCAUCCUGUGAACAAACCCAUGGCGUGGAUUCUGGGCAGCCUGAGGUCUGGCUGGAUGGCCCUGGAUCAGAGAUCCGGCCUUUAAAUGUAUUCUGGAUCCUCAAACUGCCCCUGUGGUUGCCGGAGACGGCACAGAAUGAAUGGGACAAGAAGGUGAAAGACAAAAUCCUGAAAGAUGACAAUGGAAGAGGCUCCGGGGGAGAGAAAACAAGUGUGAGGCGCCACUAAGGACUUUCUGUGCAGGAGGUUUGGAGAACAGGAGAAAACAAGCACCUGUCUCUACCUAUUGAAGAGCACGGUCCACCUGCAGACAGACAUGCCGUGACGGAUAUCACCGCGGUGUGCUCUAGACCUCCGCACGGAAAGGGAGCUCCUCUAUUCACAGCGUCUCCACAGCAUUAAAAGGCUUCAAGGAGCACAGAAGGAUUCCUCCCCACCCCCGAAUAAUAAGAUUUCAGCACAGAUUUUCCUCAGGACAACAUUCCUGAACUAUGAUUACACUUUUUUUUUUUUUUUUUUUUUUUUUUUGCUGCCUCGUCCUAGUGGCCGGAUGUGUAAUGUCCCUGACUUGUUUGUGCAGCCAUCUUAACCUUGAACUGUCAAGUGUGUCAGAGUCUGUGCUGGGGGACAGAGCCCCCUGCUGGAGGUGCUGGGGGCUUGACUUCCCACUGGAGACAAAGGCCCUUCCCAAAGACUGGAGUCCAGCAGGCCGCAGCCCAACCAGCACCGGGAACAGUGGAUGGCAGUCUUCAGGUGACAGCGGGAAUCGAUAUAAUCUCAGAUUAUUUUUUCCAAAGAACACAUCCUUUCCCUUCGGAAGCUUACUGAGAAAGAAAAAACAUUAGCCAUUUAAAUCACCACUGGCUUGGCUAGUUAGUGAUUCCUAGGAACAUAUUUUUUAUGUGGAUAAUAGUCAUGUAUAAAGCGGCUUUCGCUCUGGUAAAUGUCAGAAAUGGUGGAUUCAGUACAAUGAAAUGCAACUUCUGAAUGUCAUUGAACCUUUCAGGGUUGGCCAAGAGAAACAUUUUCAAAUAAUUCCUCUUUCUCAAUCGGUUUGACUAUGGACUUUUUUUUUCCAUUUAAAAAAAUGUUUAUUUUUCAAAGAAAAAUGGCACUAGCCAAUUAGAAACCUACUUAUUCUUCAACUCCAGUUUUGUUUUCUUUAAAUUUGGAAGUGACUUACUGAUUUACUAUUUUAAACACCUCCCCUACCACACACACCUUUUCCCUUUAAGCGUUUACUAUUUGCUCGUGCUGAAUCCUUCCAAGGAGAUCGCUCCAGCGUAUAUCUCCAGGUCCUUACUUUACUCCUCUUGCCAAAAGAUGCAAACUAUAUAAUUCCAUAAUUCCAUCGUGCAUCUUAAGGGCUCCAAUCAUCAAAAAUUAAAAAAAAAAAAAACCUCUUUGGAAUAGCCAAUUAAGUUGAAAGAAAAAAAAAUCCGCACGAAUGUGGUUUGGUUGGGGCAGAAGGAAUCCACUCGUGUGUUCCCGGUAAUCUGAUCCCGCUUCAUGAAUCCUGGUAACUCAUCCUCCCUGUGCUACCCAUGUCCUGAGUUGAAUCCAGUGAUCCAGCUCCAAGGAUUGGGAUCCAGUGAGCCCUCUCCAAUCCAAACCUUUAUAACCAGCAAAACCAAAAAAGAGGAGGCAAAAUGUUAGAUACUGUAAUCAAAAAAGGUUUCUGGGGAUGAUGAAUUAUGUCUGUCAUCAGUUUAACAGAUUUGACUAUGGACUUUUACCAUUUUCCAGUUUUUUGUUUGUGUCUUCUGGUUAUUAUUUUUUGAUUACUCAUUGGUGUCUUUGUUUAUUUUUUAUAUUUUGUAAGUUUUUUGUUUUAUCAGUGCUUUCCAUCAGACCUGGAUUCAUUCAUAUUUUAUAAAGAUCAUUUCUCCUUA